GCCCGCGUAGCUCAGUAGGUUAGAGCCAUGGUGCGAAGGUUCGAACCCUUCCGCGGGCC
rnacentral:tRNA from 1 species